rnacentral:rRNA from 1 species
AUUGAACGCUGGCGGCAUGCCUUACACAUGCAAGUCGAACGGCAGCACGGACUUCGGUCUGGUGGCGAGUGGCGAACGGGUGAGUAAUGUAUCGGAACGUACCAUUGAGUGGGGGAUAACGUAGCGAAAGUUACGCUAAUACCGCAUAUUCUCUCCGGAGGAAAGCAGGGGACCGCAAGGCCUUGCGCUCUUUGAGCGGCCGGUAUCAGAUUUGCUAGUUGGUGGGGUAAAGGCUCACCAAGGCGACGAUCUGUAGCGGGUCUGAGAGGAUGAUCCGCCACACUGGAACUGAGACACGGUCCAGACUCCUACGGGAGGCAGCAGUGGGGAAUUUUGGACAAUGGGGGCAACCCUGAUCCAGCCAUGCCGCGUGAGUGAAGAAGGCCUUCGGGUUGUAAAGCUCUUUCGGCCGGGAAAAAAUCGCAUGGAUUAAUACUCUGUGUGGAUGAUGGUACCGGAAUAAGAAGCACCGGCUAACUACGUGCCAGCCGCCGCCAUAAAAC